rnacentral:tRNA from 1 species
GGGGAUGUAGCUCAGUGGUAGAGCACUUGCCUAGCAGGCAAGUUUUAUGUUCCAUAAACCCAAAAGUUAUAAGUGAUAAUCUUGUUCUCUG